UGUCAGAGUGUAGGUGUGUGACGUUAUCUCCAUUUUUCAGAAUGCUAAAAAAGUUAAAAUAUUUGAAGUGUCAUGUGCUUUUGACCUAUUUAUGGAGGACUCAUACUGUACAAAAACUCUCAAAUACCAGCCUUUGAUUUCUGCAUAGGUCAUGUACAUAGGUUGGCGGUCCGUGGACUUUGCAUUGGGGGACUAUAUAGAACUAAGGCCAAGCAGCUAGUGAAGUACUGUUCCAUAUCAGCAAUUAU